rnacentral:rRNA from 1 species
UUGAACGCUGGCGGCAUGCUUUACACAUGCAAGUCGCACGGUAACAGCACUUCGGUGGCUGACGAGUGGCGAACGGGUGAGUAAUACAUCGGAACGUGCCUAGUAGUGGGGGAUAACUACUCGAAAGAGUAGCUAAUACCGCAUGAGAUCUAAGGAUGAAAGCAGGGGACCUUCGGGCCUUGCGCUACUAGAGCGGCUGAUGGCAGAUUAGGUAGUUGGUGGGAUAAAAGCUUACCAAGCCGACGAUCUGUAGCUGGUCUGAGAGGACGACCAGCCACACUGGGACUGAGACACGGCCCAGACUCCUACGGGAGGCAGCAGUGGGGAAUUUUGGACAAUGGGCGCAAGCCUGAUCCAGCAAUGCCGCGUGCAGGAUGAAGGCCUUCGGGUUGUAAACUGCUUUUGUACGGAACGAAAAGCCCUCUUCUAAUACAGGAGGGUCAUGACGGUACCGUAAGAAUAAGCACCGGCUAACUACGUG